rnacentral:lncRNA from 1 species
CUCUACAGCUCUGGUGUUACACUGAAAAACUAGAAGUUUCAAAACAGACAAGGGAAAAAGAGAAACAUCAGAAAGUCUGAUUAAAGUAGAAGCAUCAUAUUUCAUAUUUCUAUCAACGUAUCCACUGUGCUUGGACUCUGUAAUAGUCACCGGCAGGAAAACCCAAGGGAAUGACUACUAUGACAUCUGAUGAGUCUCAUGGUGUUGCCCAGGCUGAAUACAAUCGUGCAAUCAUGACUCUCUGCAGCCUUGACAUCCUGGGCUCUUCAAGCAAUCCUCCUGCCUCAGCCUCCCAAAUAGCUGAGACUACAGG